rnacentral:rRNA from 1 species
UACGUAGGGUCCGAGCGUUGUCCGGAAUUAUUGGGCGUAAAGAGCUCGUAGGCGGUUUGUCGCGUCUGCUGUGAAAUCCCGAGGCUCAACCUCGGGUCUGCAGUGGGUACGGGCAGACUGGAGUGCGGUAGGGGAGAAUGGAAUUCCUGGUGUAGCGGUGGAAUGCGCAGAUAUCAGGAGGAACACCAGCGGCGAAGGCGGCGCUCUGGGCCGGAACUGACGCUGAGGAGCGAAAGCGUGGGGAGCAAACAGG